GAUGAACGCUGGCGGCGUGCCUAAUACAUGCAAGUCGAGCGAACGGACGAGAAGCUUGCUUCUCUGAUGUUAGCGGCGGACGGGUGAGUAACACGUGGAUAACCUACCUAUAAGACUGGGAUAACUUCGGGAAACCGUAGCUAAUACCGGAUAAUAUUUUGAACCGCAUGGUUCAAAAGUGAAAGACGGUCUUGCUGUCACUUAUAGAUGGAUCCGCGCUGCAUUAGCUAGUUGGUAAGGUAACGGCUUACCAAGGCAACGAUGCAUAGCCGACCUGAGAGGGUGAUCGGCCACACUGGAACUGAGACACGGUCCAGACCCCUACGGGAGGCAGCAGUAGGGAAUCUUCGGCAAUGGGCGAAAGCCUGACGGAGCAACGCCGCGUGAGUGAUGAAGGUCUUCGGAUCGUAAAACUCUGUUAUUAGGGAGAACAUAUGUGUAAGUAACUGUGCACAUCUUGACGGUACCUAAUCAGAAAGCCACGGCUAACUACGUG
rnacentral:rRNA from 1 species